rnacentral:lncRNA from 1 species
UACGGAGCAAUGGGUGACUACUCAUUUUCUCACUUAGCAUCGUCUUCGCAAUUUCAAGGAAUGUCAUCAAUGUUUGGCACUACUACAAAUACUUUAUUCUCGGCAUUCAACUCAACAAUAUUAUCAACCGACAAUGCCUUCACAAACAAACGAAGACGAUGAUGAAGACAAAGACGAGGAGCAGCCACAACUAGUUAGGGGUGGAAGACAACAUCAAUCGCAACAACAACUAAGAGUCCAACC